rnacentral:rRNA from 1 species
UACGUAGGGGGGCGAGCGUUGUCCGGAAUUAUUGGGCGUAAAGAGCGUGUAGGCGGUUCGGUAAGUCUGCCGUGAAAAACCUGGGGCUCAACCCCCGGGACUGCGUCCGAUACUUCCGAGCUGGAGGCAGGUAGGGGGAGAUCGGAAUUCCUGGUGUAGCGGUGAAAUGCGCAGAUAUCGAGAGGAACACCGGUGGCGAAGGCGGCCUUCUGGACAGUGACUGACGCUGAGACGCGAAAGCGUGGGGAGCAAACAGG